AUGGCCACUCUUAUCACCACUCUCUCCACUAGCUUCAGCCGAGUCCCUCCGGCGGCUGUUCCGGCCGUCUUGGAUUGCAUUCUGGCCUCUACCGGCGUAUCUCGGUCGUCUCUGUUCGAUAAGUCUGCACAUGUAACAGGUGUCAUGAAAGACAACCAGAAGUUGGACUCCCAUGACUGUAACUAUCUGGCAUCAUUGGUUGGGGCACUUUGUCACCUCUUAAAGAAAUUUGAUACUAAUCUUGGUGCUUUGGAAUCAUUUAUCUGGAAAUGUUUUCUUCCGUUGAUAAAGAUGGCACAUAUGUUCAGCCGCGAUAUGCUUAACCAGAUUACAGAAUCAUUUAUUAAUGCUGUGAUUGAGACAAACAGCUGGGUAGUUCUGGAGGCAACACUGGUGCCAAUUUUUCUAAGAUUAGUUGCCAGUUCUAUUGGUAUGCCUGAAAAGGAAGUAUCAGAUACUUUUCAGUUGAUUUUGGGAUCUAAUGACCGGGUAAAUCAUAUGGAAAUGAGUACAAAUCACGUCAUUUCCCCUCCUGGAUCACCUUCACUGCCAAUUUCAUGCCACAUCCUAACCUUAAUGCUUGAUGCUGUCCUUCAAAGCAAGAAAACAGCUGCCUCUACAGAAUCAACAAUUGAAAAUGGGUGUUUUGAUGAUCAAAAUUUUGUUGGUAAAUUGACUUGGGGUCUUUGUAGGUUAACUGAACAAUUGCUUUUACAAAAUUUGGAAUACCGCUCCUGUGCUACUGCCUUUCUUCUCCCAAUCAUUUUCAAAGUUGAUAAGGAGAGUUUAGUGAGGAAGCAAUCGUUACAGAUCUUAAAGAUAGCACUACACAUAAAUGGAGCAGCUCAAUCCUCCGGUGUUCCAGAGGAUAUAUCGGCUGAAAAUAAGUCGAUGCCUCAAGGCAUGACAAAGAGGGAGCUGUGGGCUGAUAAGGAAGCUAAAUCGUUGGGUGUGGGGAAAAUAUGUUGCCUAGUCGAGUCUUCCGUGGAAAGCCAGAACAAGUGGGAGGCAUUUGUGCUCCUGUAUGAAAUGCUUGAAGAAUAUGGAACUCACCUCGUUGAAGCAGCUUGGAAUUACCAGAUAUCCUUGUUACUUCAAAAUUCUAGCUCAGAUGCUAAUAAUACAAUCUCUGUCAGUGGAGCACUUCAUCAAAACCAGAUCGAAAAUCCAGGAGAAAUCUUUAACUGGCUAGCAAUUUUGUGGGAAAGGGGCUUUAAUCAUGACAACCCGCUAGUUAGGUGCUUGAUCAUGCAGUCAUUUUUGGGGAUUGAUUGGAUGCAUUCCGGCACACCAGCUAGAUCGGUGCCUAGACAUUUUGUUCUUGGUUCAUUUAUUCAAGGGUUAAAUGAUCCUGUGCAUCACAAAGAAUUUGGUGUAAAAGGAAUAUACUCCUCAAUGACCAUACGAGGUGCAGCCAACUUUCUAAACAAAUAUACAAGUUUUCUGAAUGUGAGGAAGUGCAUUAUGUUUCUGAGUGACUUAGCAUCAGCUGCUAAGCAGCAACCUCUUGGUAGAGUUGGAUUGAUGUGCCUUGCUGAAUGCAUUUCUUCUGCUGCUCGUCAAGUUGGAAAGAAUAAUAAUGAAACUGAUGCUCAGUGCUUUGAAGAUGGAUUUCCUGACAUGAUCCAAGUGGGAAAGGCUUCUUACAAUGACAAAAUUGUUUUGCUUGAUGCCUUGAGAUUUAUUAUUGAGAGCAGCAAACAACAUUUCAAUUCUAAUUAUCGUCUUCAAGGUCUAUAACUAACCUGUUUAGAUGAUAAUAUUAUAUCUUUACAAGUGGUUGUUUACACAGUUUGUGAGAAAGUCCUCGAGUCUGCUGCUUCAGUGGUGUGCACAUGUGAUCUGCCUCUUGAUGUACUUUUGCACUUCAUUUCAACAUUUCCAUGGGAAUUCACUGAUCACGGUGGUCCCUUAAGACAGAAAGUACAACAAUGGCUUAUGGAUGGUAAUCAUUGCAGUGUCAACUGCUGCAGUACUGAAAUAGAGCUCCUCAAGAGUCUUCAUGACUUCCCAAAUAGGUUUACAAGCACUUGCAAUGAUGAUGCUUCAACCACUUUUGACGAUGAAGACUUGGAUGCAUGGGAAUUUGAAGCGAAGCGGUGGGCUAGAGUGCUCUUUAUUGCAUGUGAGGAGGAAUAUCAGUUGUUACCUAUACUGACGUUUAUUCAAAAUCAUGGUAGUGAUGUCUGCAAACAAUACAAUAAUAUGGACCUAUUUCCUGUGAAGUUUCUCAUCCUCAUCUUGAGUCUGGUUCUGGAGCUUCAGAUGAUGCAAGAAAGAGUUGCUAAACAUGGUUCUGAGCUUCGAAGCAAAACAGAAUUUUUUGUGCCAGAAUCAAUGAAUCAAUUUAAUCAUGCAGAUGUUCCUAAUUUAUAUCAAAAGUUCACUGCCAUUUUUCUUCUUUUACUGGAGGAGUUAGUCUCUUUUGCAAACCUGUCUUGUUCCAUAUUCUCAAAUAACAAUACGUCUAAGAUGAGAGAUGCAACCCUUCCUGGUUCUGUAACAGGAAAACUUGGAGGACCUAGUCAACGCCGACUGUCAUCUUCUACCACCAGUGCUGUAUUGCGAGCAAUUAUGUCCAUGAAGGCUGUUGCAACUAUCACCUCAUUCUGUGCACGAGUUAAAACUGAUGUUUCCCUUGAACCUGCUAUUAAUUUUUUGUGGGAUUUCUACUGGAAGACUAUUUCGUCUCCAGCUUGUGAUUCAGAGACUGGAGCAGAAAUACAUCUUGCAGCAUAUGAAGCGUUAGCCCCUACUCUCACAGGACUAGCGUCUGUGUGUUCUCCUCACACUUUGGAUCCACAUAAGAAAUAUCACAGCUCGUUACUAUCAGAUGGCAAACCUUUUUUGGAUUCUUUGGUGCUAAAUUUUCUUCAAAACACAAAUAAACUCAUUACAGUAGGAGUAUUUACACGAUCUCGACGUGCAGUUUUAAUGAAUUGGAAGUGGAUUUGCCUAGAAUCUCUAUUGUCGAUUCCUUGCCAUGCUCAUAGGAACGGGUUUCUUCUAGAGGAAAAUAAUUAUGUCUUCUCAGGUGCUGCUCUCAGAUGUAUAUUUUCUGAUAUUCUUGAGAGCCUUGAGAAUGCUGGUGAAGGUUCUGUUUUACCGAUGCUCAGAUCAGUUCGACUAGUUUUGGACCUACUUGCCCAUGGAAAGUCUGGCUCACUUGUCUGCUUCUGUGAUGGGGUGGAUGCCCAGAUGCUGUGGCAUUUGGUUCAUUCUUCUUGGAUAUUGCAUGUCAGUUGCAACAAGCGGAAGGUUGCACCUAUUGCUGCACUUUUGUCUUCUGUUCUCCAUUCAUCUCUAUUUAGUGACGAGAGCAUGCAUAUAACUGAUGGUGCACCUGGGCCUCUGAAGUGGUUUGUUGAAAAAAUUCUUGAGGAAGGGACGAAAAGUCCCCGGACAAUUCGUCUUGCUGCAUUACACUUAACAGGGCUGUGGCUAUCGUAUCCUAGGAUUAUACAGUACUAUGUGAAGGAGCUGAAGCUGCUGUCCCUUCAUGGUUCUGUUGCUUUUGAUGAGGACUUCGAAGGUGAACUAGCUGAUAAUCGAGAUACCAGGGCUGAAGUUUCUUUAUUGGCAAAAGGCCCUGAUCUGGAGCUGACCAAAGCAUUUAUCAAUACAGAGUUGUAUGCACGGGCCUCUGUUGCUGUUCUAUUCUACAAGCUAGCAGACAUGGCCAUCAUGGUGGGAUCAACUAAUGAAAAUGCAGAUUGCUAUGCAGCUUUGGAAUCUGGAAAAAUGUUUUUGCUUGAGCUUCUUGAUUCCGCGGUAAACGACAAGGAUCUUGCAAAAGAGUUGUAUAAGAAGUAUAGUGCAAUUCAUAGAAGAAAGGUACGGGCAUGGCAAAUGAUAUGUAUUUUGUCACCUUUUGUCUGUGAGGAUAUAGUCUCAGAAGUUGCACGUUGCUUGCACACAUCCCUCUAUAGGAACAACUUACCUGCAGUUCGUCAAUAUUUGGAAACAUUUGCAAUUAAUAUGUACUUAAAGUUUCCACCACUGGUUGAGGAGCAACUAGUUCCUAUGUUAAGAGAUUAUGACAUGAGACCUCAGGUAUGUACAGCUCUCUCUUCUUAUGUAUUUAUAGCAGCUAACGUAAUCCUCCAUGCAUCUCAACCUGUUCAACACCGACAUCUGAAUGAAUUACUUCCUCCUAUAGUUCCACUAUUAACCUCACAUCACCACAGUCUACGUGGUUUCACCCAGUUGCUGGUUUACCAAGUUCUUUGCAAAUUGUUCCCUCCCAUGGAUUCUGGAGCCUCUGAAUGUAUGACUUUAGAGAAGAGAUGUUUUCAGGAUCUGAAAUCCUACCUCGCAAAGAACUCUGAUUGUACGCGCUUACGACAAUCAAUGGAAGGGUAUCUUGAUGCCUACAGUCCCCUUAGCUCGAUCACUCCUGCGGGUGUGUUCAUCAACCGUGUUGAGGACAUCGAGUUUGAAUGUGUAUCAAUAUCCCUUAUGGAGCAAGUGCUCAACUUUUUGAAUGAUGUGAGGGAAAACCUUCGAAAUUCAAUGGCAAAGGAUGUUGUGACCAUUAAGAAUGAGAGUUUGAGAUCUGAUGGAGAUCAAGACCGCAUGGGGAUACUGUCUAAUGCUAAUGAAAGACAAUUGUGUACCCAGCUGCCUAAAGAUAUCUCACUAGAUUUUCAGAAGAAGAUUACUCUAUCUAAACAUGAGAAGCAAGACGACGUAAAUGAAAAACUUAAAAUUGAUAUAAUCUGAUGUGGAAUCAAUACAGAAUUAGAAAAGGACGAUAAGCUUCUUGCUCAGGUGCUUCAGUCUAGAACUCUUGGAAUAGAAAGAGAGAGAUCAAGUAGACAACAUCUUAUCCUUGUAGCAUCUCUGCUUGAUCGGAUACCUAACCUAGCUGGCCUUGCUCGGACUUGUGAGGUAUUUAAAGUAUCAAGCUUGGCCAUUGCGGAUAAAAACGUAUUACAUGACAAACAGUUCCAACUCAUCAGUGUGACCGCUGAGAAGUGGGUUCCUAUCAUCGAAGUCCCAGUGAAUAGUUUGAAGAUUUUCCUUCAGAAAAAGAAACAAGAAGGUUUCUCAAUUUUAGGACUAGAGCAGACUGCAAACAGUAUACCUCUUGAUCAAUAUAUCUUUCCUAAAGAUACAGUACUGGUUCUUGGGCGAGAGAAGGAAGGUAUACCAGUUGAUAUAAUACAUUUUCUAGAUGCUUGCCUUGAAAUUCCACAGUUGGGAGUUGUAAGAUCUCUCAAUGUUCAUGUCAGUGGUGCCAUUGCACUCUGGGAAUAUACUAGACAACAGAGAUCCCAGUAG